UAUAAUAUAAUAUUUGUUGCUGCCUUGUUCUAUAUAAAUGUUUCUAACAUGCAGGUAACAUUUAUAUAUGUAUUAGUUUGAAUAAAUCAUUUUAAUAAAGUUACAUUAUAGGCAGGAAUGUUUGUCUGGAAAUAUAAACGAUGUUGUACAUAAUGCAGAUAGCUUAGGCAAAAAAGAGAUUGGUGAAAUGGAGAAUGAGACUAACUAGGGUGAAAAAAAAUGAAUAUUAAUAUGUGAAUGGUACUUUGUUUAACAUCUACCUGUUUCUACAGAUACAGUACAGACGCAUUUAUAAAUGGGCUUGAUGUUUUUUUGAAUUAAAUAUGUUGUAUUGA